rnacentral:rRNA from 1 species
AUUCUUCCAAAAGGAGGUAUUAUAUAUAUAGCUGAUCUCAAUUUUACCUGCAAAAGUGAAAUUUAAACUUAAACCAAAUAUACCCUAACAGAUCUUAUUAUACCCUCACACAAACCACACUCACAAAACAGGGAUUAGAUACCCCUCUAUUGCGUGGCUCUACACUAACAAACUCUAAAAACGAAAGUUCCAAACUUAAAGAACGUGGCGGUGUUCUACACCUUAUUAGGGGAUCCUGUGGCUUAAUUCGAUAAUCCACGACUAACCAAGCUUCAUUAGCCCACAGCUUAUGUAUGGCCGCAUUACGCCUGCACACCAAUGUUAUAACAGGAGACAAUUAGAACCAAAUAUUCUAAUAAUACAGGUGACAUAUAGCCCAUAUGGAGCAGUUCAUGGGAUACAAAUAAUCAUCAUUACCCGAAAGUAAUUUGUAAUUUUUACAAAAAGGAGGACUUAAAAGUAAGAUUUAAAACAAUAUUUUAAUCUGAAUAAGAUCUAGAACGCGCACAAAUCGCCCGUCACUCCCAGCCCUAAUUGGGAUAAGUCGUAACAUAGUAGGGGUAACGGAAGUUGCCCCUAAA